rnacentral:tRNA from 1 species
GCGGGGGUGCCAGAGUGGUUAUGGGACCGGCUGCAGACCGGUUUACAGGGGUUCGAGUCCCCUCCCCCGCU